ACCAUCUCCAUAUUUGUUCAUCGGUGUACUUUGAGCAUCAAAAGCUUUUCUUUGAUGUAAAAAAAAAAAAACAAAAAGUAAGAAUUUUAGAUGGUGAGGUUUUAACUAUUUACUUUCAUUAAUAUUCAUGAUCUAUAAAUUUUGGUACCUACCAGGGGUGAAAAAUACUCGCUUUUUGCCUUUUACUCUCUUUGUCAAGGUUUAACGGGUGGAGAGCGUGGUCUAUAUUCUUUGCUUCCACUCAUUCUAUUUCAGAACUAUGGCACAUGCCCUUAAUUCAUACCAGCGAGACCUUUUCAUUGGAGUUGGGUUCUUCGUCUAGUAAAAAAAAUGAGAAAAUGGCUGUUAUCUAUUAUUCUGUUGCGGUCCACUUUCUUUAUUUGAGGUGUGUUCCUCUCUGGUUAGAAAAGGACUAAAAGUUUUUUCUUUUUAUGCUAGUGAAGUACAAUUCAAUUAGGUUGGAUUUCUCAGUUAAUUAAAAAAGAUAAAAUUCAUCAAAAAUGAUGAGAAUAUUUAAAAAUUCUCAACUUCAAAUGGAAACUAGGUCU
rnacentral:lncRNA from 1 species